CCUACGGGAGGCAGCAGUGGGGAAUAUUGCACAAUGGGGGAAACCCUGAUGCAGCGACGCCGCGUGAGUGAAGAAGUAUCUCGGUACGUAAAGCUCUAUCAGCAGGAAAGAAAAUGACGGUACCUGACUAAGAAGCCCCGGCUAACUACGUGCCAGCAGCCGCGGUAAUACGUAGGGGGCAAGCGGUAUCCGGAUUUACUGGGUGUAAAGGGAGCGUAGACGGCGCUGCAAGUCCGGGGUGAAAGCCCAUGGCUUAACCAUGGUACUGCUCUGGAAACUGUAGUGCUUGAGUGCGGGAGGGGCAGGCGGAAUUCCUAGUGUAGCGGUGAAAUGCGUAGAUAUUAGGAGGAACACCGGCGGCGAAGGCGGCCUACUGGACCGUAACUGACGUUGAGGCUCGAAAGCGUGGGGAGCAAACAGGAUUAGAUACCCCAGUAGUC
rnacentral:rRNA from 1 species